GAGGGAUAACCAAUAAGGAGGUACAGAGAGAGAGGGAUAACCAAUAAGGAGGUACAGAGAGAGAGGGAUAACCAAUAAGGAGGUAGAGAAAGAGAGGGAUAACCAAUAAGGAGGUAGAGAAAGAGAGGGAUAACCAAUAAGGAGGUAGAGAAAGAGAGGGAUAACCAAUAAGGAGGUAGAGAAAGAGAGGGAUAACCAAUAAGGAGGUAGAGAAAGAGAGGGAUAACCAAUAAGGAGGUAGAGAAAGAGAGGGAUAACCAAUAAGGAGGUAGAGAAAGAGAGGGAUAACCAAUAAGGAGGUAGAGAAAGAGAGGGAUAACCAAUAAGGAGGUAGAGAAAGAGAGGGAUAACCAAUAAGGAGGUAGAGAAAGAGAGGGAUAACCAAUAAGGAGGUAGAGAAAGAGAGGGAUAACCAAUAAGGAGGUAGAGAAAGAGAGAGGUAGUGAGGAAGGUAGGUAGAGAUGUACUAAGAAAGAGAUGGAUUAAGUAAAGGAAGCUAUCAGGGAAGGACAAAGAAGUGGAAAAACAUGAUCUCAAACAACAAAUUAAGGAAUAUAUACACAGUUGCUUCAUUAAUCUUACAAGGUUCAAGCAUCACUUCCUAUUACAUAGGACAGUAUUUGGCCUGGCCACACAGUCAUUACAUAGGACAGUAUUUGGCCUGGCCACACAGUCAUUACAUAGGACAGUAUUUGGCCUGGCCACACAGUCAUUACAU